GACGAACGCUGGCGGCGUGCUUAAUACAUGCAAGUCGAACGGAAAGGCGCUGCCGUUGUGGGGUGCGCGGGGGGCGAACGGGUAAGAAGCACGUGAGUAGCCUUCCCUUGGCUGACGGCUGAGUGCAGGUACCUGGAGUACCUACCGUAUACGUGCUCCUGAUGCUUUUUGUGGGAUGUCAAGUUCCGGCCGGUGCGGCUGGACUCGCAUCUUAUCAGCUUGUUGGUUGGGACGGUGAUGACCAAGGUUAUGAGGGGUAGUCGGCCUGUGAGCGUGACCGGCCACAUUGGGACUGAGAUACGGCCCAGCCUCCUACGGGAGGCAGCAGUGGGGAGUAUUGCACAAUGGGCGGAAGCCUGACGCAGCAACGCCGCGUGCGUGAUGACGGCCUUCGGGUUGUAAACCGCUUUCGCCUGUGACGAAGCGUGAGUGACGGUAAUGGGUAAAGAAGCACCGGCUAACUACGUG
rnacentral:rRNA from 1 species